CCGAGUCUGCAGCCGGCGUCCACCGCUACAGCACGUUCGUCGUUCCUAGCCACGCGGCGUCUGCCGCCGCCGCGAUGCAGCCUUCCGUUAAUUUUUUAUUUAAAUUUCCACUUUCUUCGCCUUCACCCUCUCUCAACUAUCUUCAUCACAUAACCGCAAUCAUAAUUUAACAACUUUAAUUACAAUGGUCGUCCGUCGAAAACGCUCACGACAGACUGGAAGAUUUAGCCGCAAUAGCAUCACGCCGUGAACGUGCCGGAUAAUAUUUUGGAAUGAAAAAAUAUAACAAAAUAGAAACUAUUGAGACCUCAGAAAUGCAAACGCCUUUCAUCCAAUUCACCCGCACUCAAGCUCGACUCGGAGUCACGUUGGAAGCUACGCGUAGACUGAUGGUAAAAUCGGCAAAUUAAAGUCAAUCGAAGUCGGUCGCACAAACGGUCGUCGGAUCCGCCGAUCUCAACUACUCAGCUACUAUCUAUCCGUAUCGCGUUCAUGGCUAUAGUUUAUUUUUCGUUCCGAAACAUGAUAGGUAAUCUGAAUUGUGAAAAAUUUUUAUUUAAAAAGUUUAAAAAAAAAUACACAGCCAUAUAAUAUUAUUUAUAUCUUGGGCACGUGUGCAUUAUCAUUUCGUUUCAAUUUAACGCUACUUAUAGUUUUAAAAGCUGUAAUAGUAGUUUUUGUUUGUUCUCACAACAUUAUAGUAUUCAACCAAGAAUAACAAAACGAUGAAACAUAUGACUAACUUUAAGAUAAGUGUAAGACAAAAAAGGUCGGUCGGGCGUCUUAAUAAGAAAAUCCCCCCCUCAAAAAAAAAAAUCAAGCAAUACGCCGAUCGACUUUUCUUUUAGUACGUAAGAUUGAUUUACGAAGACUGAUCUUGUGUUACCCCACUUAAAACUGUUAAAUUACCACAUAAGUUUAUAAACGUAAGUAAUAUUGUAAAUAACACUACGUUUUUAGUAAUACGAAAACGUAUUGAGUAUAGGUACUAAUAAGUUAUUAAUAUUAUUGUUAUUAUUUUAACAUAAGUAUAAUUGAUAUAAUAUUUUAUUGUUUUAUACAAAAGCAAUGAAAUCACAAUGUCUUCCAUUAAAUUAAUAUUGUCUUAUUGAUAAUAAUAUUAUUGCUAGAUUAAGUGUACUGUAACGUAUGUACACUGGUAACGUUAAGUAUUAUUCACGCGUGUGUACGGUACAAUAUAAUAUACCUAAUAAUUGUAUUAUGUUUACUCGAUAGUAUAAUGACUGUAAUGUUUAAUUAUAAUAAUUUAUUUUUAAGUCUUUUACAUUAUAGGGUGGUUUAAGUAGGUUAUUAUAGUAUCGUUAUUAUUUUUUAAAUUUAAAAUAACUAAUGAUAAUUAAUAUAAAUUAUUUUAUUUAAUAAAUACUGGCCCUUUGAACCGGGAGUGACGUUUGACAAUAAAAAAUACAUUAGGUCCACGUGCCAGACAUAUUAUUAUUAUUAUUAUUAUUAUUAUUUUUAUCAUCAAUAUUAUUAAUUUUUAUGUUUUAGAUAUAGGUAGUUGUCAUUGUAUAUUUUAUAAUUAUUAUUAUUACGAUUAUCAAUAUAGGUAUAAUGCAUAUUGUCAUUAUAUUUGAGCCGUAUAUUACUAUUAUGUUUGGUAAUAAGUAAAAUAAAAUGUUUAAAAUAAAAUCACAAUUUUAAUCUGAAAUUCGCAUAAUAGUUCAUGAUACUCCCACGUUUUAAAACAACCUUUGCCGAGCUGUGAGUAUAAUAUUCAAUACAAAAAAAUUUAAUUUAAAAUCCCAAAUAGUGUAUGGACCUUUUGAAAAAUAUCAUACUUCACAAUUCACAUUUUAGAACAUUUAUUCACAUCAAAUUUAAAGAUUAACUAGUAAAUUUCUAAAAACCAAUAUUUUUAAAUGCCUAUUUCAAAAUAGGUACAUUAAAAAAAAAAUAAAGAUAAAAAAUGAAAAAUAAUUUUUGAAAUGUAUUUAAAAAAAAAAUAAUAAUUUUAAACUAAACAUAAUAUAGAAAAAUGAACCUUAAUAAUUAUCUCAACUAAUUAAUCGUAACGGUGUUUUGGUAAACAACAGUAUGUAGGUGAUAAAAAGUAUUUUUAUAAAACAAUGAUUGAUAAAAAUUUACAUAAGAUUCCACAAAAACUACAUAAAAGUUGUAAAAUAAAUAGAAAAUAAAAUCGCAAUAUUUUUUAUAGUAAAAUCAAAAACUUUUGCCACAGAUUUACAAUAAUAAUUAUAAUUUCUAACUAUGCACGCCGAUAUGCACCUAUAUUCCAUUAUUUUAUUAUAUCAUCUGGCACAAGUGAUUUAAACUCAAUUUUUUCAUCUUAUCCCACAAACUCCAUUUAUUUAGGGCACCCUCAUGAAAAAAAUUCGAGACGAAGGGAUCUUCAAAAUAUCCAUUACAUUCUUCCCUGGCAUAUCUCAAAUCUUAAUGCUUGUAGAAGCUUCCAGAAACGUUUAAAGUAUUAAGUAUACCAUUCUCAGUUAUAUUAUUAUGUAAUUUGAAAAUAAUAAUAUUCUAUUGCCAUUUAUAGGUACCUUGUAUAUGAUGAAUGUAAAUCUAUAUGACAUAGAUAAUAGAUAAUUUUAUUUAUUUCAUUGUAAAAACUUACUUAAUAAUUGAACAUAAUAUUGUUAAGCACACAGUGUUAAAAUUUAAAAUUUGUGGUUUGUGCGUUCACAAUUAAUAAAUAUUAUUGUAUCGAUUAAUGACUGGUGUUUGUAUGAUGAUAAAUAAUGAUCACGAUAAGUAAUGAUAUUCGAGGCAAUGAAUUGAAUGCCAUACAAAUCUAUUAAAAAAAAAAAUAAAAAACCUAACAUAAUACCUACCUAUUAUGAUUUUUUAAUUUCAUUAAUGAAAAUAUUGUUGAUAGGGAAAAAUUUGUAUAAAUAAAUAGUUGUUUUCAAUAAUAAGAUAAUACCUAGAUACUAAUUUAAAAUAAUUAUGUUAUUUAUAAAUUUUAUUCAACCAAUAAUGCUUUUAAAAAAAUAGUAGGUAGAAUUUUAAAUUAACAUGACUAUUUGUAUAAAUUAAUAAUCAAUGCUUAAAUACAAAAUCAUGUUAAAAAGUAUAAAUAUAUUAUGACUGCAGUAUCUAGAUAUGUUUAAAAUAACCAAUAUGUAAUAUUUUAUUUAGAAUAAAAUAAUUUGUAUUAUAAUUAAUAUGAUUUCUGAAUAAAAUCAUUAAAUAUGGUAAAUUCAUAAAAUUCGUAGAUGUGAUCAAAGCUAAUAAAUACCUAUAUAAUAAUAAUGAGGGCUUGGAUUUGUAAGAAAAUUGCAAAUUUUUAUGUAUAAAAUAUACCUACUUAAAACUAAAUUGUUGAGCGCUAAAAUUUAUACUUGUAUAAAUAUUCAUAUUUCUAAAUAAUUGCAUAUAAAUUGCCUAUUUUUAAAAUUUGUUCUACUUUAAACAGCAGUAUACACUAAUAUUGUACUACGUUAUGUCAUUAUGUAAGAAAAGUUUUUAAGUACAAAAAUAUGCAACGAAAUAAUCUGAUAAUCGUAGAAGUGUUAAACUUGAAAAUCUUAAGUUAAAUUUUUGUAUAAUUUUAUAAAAAUAUAUAUUUAUAAACUCAAUAAUGACUUAUAAUGUAUUUAUAAUUUACGCAUUUUAAGCAUACUAAUCCAGGUCCUAUAAUUACAAUUAUUAAACAAUUACUAAUUUAUUUUUGAACCUUUUGUUCAAUACUUCAAUUUAAGAAAAAUUCUAAAAAUACACGACGUGAUCUUGAAUAUAACAUGUAACAAUAUAAGUAACAUCUAAAAAUAAAGUAAUAAUAUUAAAUAAAUCAGGAAAAUGUAAAUGAGUUCUUUAAAUAACAUCACACAUUACAUUCAUACAAUACCCAGUCACGUAGUUAUACUAAUAUAUAUAUACAUGUAUGAUAUUAAUAAUACAUCAAACUAACUAUAUUAUGUUUCUAAGUGUUGAUUUGUUCAAUUGUUUUAAAACAAAUUCUAUUUAUUUAUUACAAUAAUAGUACCUUCUAAGUUAAUUCAUCGUGUCGAUAGUAAGUUCUGUUAGAAGAAAUAUAAUAUUAUGCUUAUAUGUACUUACAAACUUAUUUUUCUUUCUUAUACAGUUAUAUGCAUAACUGUAGUAAUACAUCAUAUUAUUAUUAUACUAUAGAAACCAAUUAAAUGUUUAACGUCAUCAAUCAUUAUGCUGUAAUAAACCUAUACAAUAUACUAUACAAACAAUAUUAUAUUCUGCUUAUAGUAUUACCAUAGAUCUUUUACUCAUAGACCGGUCCAUCGUAUACUAAAUACAUUAAUAGUUGCAAGCUGACAUAGCGCAAUGAUAUCCGUAGUAAAUAGGUUACCCAUCCCUAUUUAUACGAUAAUUUUUGUACUGUAUCAGAGUAACUCAGAAACCGAAAACCUAUCAUGACACGGUGAAAACGUGAAGAGAGCCGGUCUAUGAGUAAAAGGUCUAUGAGUAUUACAGAUACAAUUAUUAUAAUAAUAUUAUCGAUUAAAUAAAUGAAAUACUAGUAUUAUUA